rnacentral:rRNA from 1 species
UAGGGAAUCUUCCGCAAUGGACGCAAGUCUGACGGAGCAACGCCGCGUGAGUGAAGAAGGAUUUCGGUUCGUAAAACUCUGUUGUUAGAGAAGAACAGCGCAUCGAGUAACUGUUAUGCGUGUGACGGUAUCUAACCAGAAAGCCACGGCUAACUACGUGCCAGCAGCCGCGGUAAUACGUAGGUGGCAAGCGUUGUCCGGAUUUAUUGGGCGUAAAGCGAGCGCAGGCGGUCAAUUAAGUCUGCUGUGAAAGCCCCCGGCUCAACCGGGGAGGGUCAUUGGAAACUGGUUGACUUGAGUGCAGAAGAGGAGAGUGGAAUUCCAUGGGUAGCGGUGAAAUGCGUAGAUAUAUGGAGGAACACCAGUGGCGAAGGCGACUCUCUGGUCUGUAACUGACGCUGAGGCUCGAAAGCGUGGGUAGCAAACAGG